rnacentral:SRP_RNA from 3 species
GGAUAGGUCCUGCGCAAUGAAGUCCUGUGAACCUUGUCAGGUCCGGAAGGAAGCAGCAAUAAGCAGACCGCUUCGUGUGCCGCAGGAGUGCCUGUUCCUG